CAGCAGUGGGGAAUCUUGGACAAUGCACCCAAGCCUAAUCCAGCAAUGCCGCGAGCAGCAAGAAGCCCUCCGGGUUGUAAACUGCUUUUGUCAGGGAAGAAAUCCUAUGGUUUCAUACCUGGGGGUGAUGACGGUACCUGAAGAAUAAGCACCGGCUAACUACGUGCCAGCAGCCGCGGUAAUACGUAGGGUGCGAGCGUUAAUCGGAAUUACUGGGCGUAAAGCGUGCGCAGGCGGUUGUGCAAGUCAGGUGUGAAAUCCCCGGGCUUAACCUGGGAACUGCAUUUGUGACUGCACGUCUAGAGUUCGGUAGAGGGGGAUGGAAUUCCGCGUGUAGCAGUGAAAUGCGUAGAUAUGCGGAGGAACACCGAUGGCGAAGGCAAUCCCCUGGACCUGUACUGACGCUCAUGCACGAAAGCGUGGGGAGCAAACAGGAUUAGAUACCCUGGUAGUCCACGCCCUAAACGAUGUCAAC
rnacentral:rRNA from 1 species